UACAGAGGUCCCAAGCGUUGUUCGGAUUCAUUGGGCGUAAAGGGUGCGUAGGUGGCGUCGUAAGUCGGGUGUGAAAUCUCGGGGCUUAACUCCGAAACUGCAUUCGAUACUGCGGUGCUUGAGGACUGGAGAGGAGACUGGAAUUCCUGGUGUAGCGGUGAAAUGCGCAGAUAUCAGGAGGAACACCGGUGGCGAAGGCGGGUCUCUGGGCAGUAACUGACGCUGAGGAGCGAAAGCGUGGGGAGCGAACAGG
rnacentral:rRNA from 1 species